CAUGAUUAAGUAUUACUUAAGGGGUUAGUUUGAGAAAAUUAAAUUAUUCGAAGUUUGCCUAUAGUUCAACGUAGCAGCAUUCGUUAUUAUGUUUACCCCCCCCCCACCCCUUUUAUGAGAUGGUUAUCGUCAAUGGAGUAUAUAUGCAUAUAUUACAGUACAUUAAUAUGAAUUUUUCCUCUUUUGUAGAUAGUUUUUGAUUGUGUUACUGUAUAUUACUGUGCUAUUGUAUGAUUGGAUUGGUAGUGUGCCUGAAUUUAAAGUGAAGGACUUUAGUUUGAGAAUCAUAUUGAAUGUAAAGUUAAUAUUAAAGGCUGCUACAGCUGUAGGCACACUUAUCCUAUUUAUGUGUUGUUUUAUUUAUUAAAUAAUUUAUAUUCGUUUGAGUUGGCGAAUUAGAAUAUAA
rnacentral:lncRNA from 1 species